rnacentral:misc_RNA from 1 species
GAUGAAGAACGUAGCGAAAUGCGAUACGUAAUGUGAAUUGCAGAAUUCAGUGAAUCAUCGAAUCUUUGAACGCAUAUUGCGCUCUCUGGUAUUCCGGAGAGCAUGCUUGUUUGAGUAUCAGUAAACACCUCAACUUCCAUAUCUUUUUUUGAAAUGGGAGUUGGACUUGAGUGAUCCCAACGCUUUUCCUCACCGAAAAGUGGCGGGUUACUUGAAAUGCAGGUGCAGCUGGACUUUUCUCUGAGCUAUAAGCAUAUCUAUUUAGUCUGCCUAAAAAACAGAUUAUUACCUUUGCUGCAGCUAACAUAAAGGAGAUUAGUUCUUGUGCAGACUGAUGCAGGAUUCACAAAGACAGCUUCGGCCGACUUUGUAAACUCGAUCUCAAAUCAAGUAAAACUACCCGCUGAACUUAAGCAUAUCAAUAAGCGGAGGA